rnacentral:tRNA from 1 species
UCCUCGUUAGCUCAGUUGGUAGAGCGUUCGGCUUUUAAGAAUAACUAAUACUUACUUUCGAUAUUAGAAACAUCAUCAGUAAUGUUAGGAGUGAUCCAAUUUGAUCAGUCUUAAGAGAAAUUGAAACCGAAACGUCAAGGGUUCAAGCCCCUUACGAGGAG